CGCACUGCCAUUUGAUGUCAC
rnacentral:miRNA from 1 species